GACAUAUGGGGACAUUUUUAUGAAAUUUCACCUUACAUAUGAGGACCUGUUGAAAUAUGAGGACAUUUUCCAUGUCCUCAUAUUUCCCGCAAUGCUAUCGUGUUCUAGACCCUCCCAGCAUGUUCCCAGACCAAAAAUCUCUAAAGUCUUCAUUUGUCAAAUUUUCAGAAAAAGUGUGUGAAAGUGUGUUUAAUUUUUUGGGUCACCUUCGAUUUUGCCCCUAGUGGCCAUCUUUGCUAUUAUGACACACACACACACACACUUGUCCUCAUAUGUCAUAUGUCCUCAUAUGUCAUGUGGGUCAGAAACUCACACACUCCAACAUUUGAAAAACAUCUAAUCAUUACAGCAAUAAACAUACUUUUGAAAUCUAAAUCAAAUAACACAUUUUCAACUGAUCUGAUGAUCUCAACCUUCUUUAUGUUAGUUUUAUCUAUUCAUUUGGUUUAUCUGGAGAGGAUUUGGGCUAGACAAUCAAUAAUAAAGGGAUUAUGGUGAUGAUUUAAUCGGUUUGAUUCAGUAUUUUACUGUAUUGGGCUUUUUUCUAUUCUGUUGUCUAAAAUACAAUGCCACACAAUAAUUACUUUAAAUGUGCCUGAAAAAAACCUUCAACCUUGAUUGAGACAAAGGCGAUAAUUCAAAUGGAAUUCAAACUACAUACAGUAUUUAAUAUUUUCAAAUGGUUCAAUAGCACAUGAUUUAGGUAUUUUUAUCUUUGGGACAAAUUUUGGAUUCAAUUGGGGAUUGUUUUUGGAGGUAUUCACUUUACAUGGUGUUCAAGAUGGUUACUUCCGCCCACUCUGAAGAGUCUCGGCGUCUGAUUGGUCCAGUUUUCAGUUAGGCGCCGCCUGAUUGGCCGUUGGAUGAUGUCUGAUCCUAACAGAUGGCUAAAUCACUAGUUAACUAUUUUCCUCAUGGAAGUUAUAUAGCUCAUGUAUCACACUUAAUAUUGAAUAUAUAUAUAAAAAGGGUUUUCCAAAAGUACCAUUUAUAAUCGAAAUACAAAACUUCACACACGAUUUUGAGCACAACAGAGCGCUCAGUGAACAUCACUUCCGGGACCUGCAGCAUCAGAGGGGGACAUCUAUCUUGGCCACAAACCAUCUUUGACAGUCUUCGGCAGCAUGGUUGAAUCAGGCGCAUCAACACAUGAUAUAGACAUCGUGUCCAAAAGAAGAGCGAGACGUAAUCCUGAGGCUGAAGCCACCGAGUUUAUUUGAUCUGGAUGUGACAAGUCUUGUUUUAAGGCCCAGUGGAUCAAUGAUUGGAAAGACACCAACUGUUGAUGUUCUAUCUCAACAUUCUCCAGAUUCAUACACCAACUGUUGGGGUUCUAUCUCAACAUUCUCCAGAUUCAGAUGUGAGUGAUAAACCGACUUCAUCCCUCCAACAGAAACCAACUGUUGAGGUUCCAUCUCAACAUUCUCCAGAUUCAGAUGUGAGCCAUUAACUGACUUCAUCCCUCCAACAGAAACCAACUGUUGAGGUUCUAUCUCAACAUUCUCUGGAUUCAGAUGACAGCCAUAAACCGACUUCAUCCCUCCAACAGAUUGACAGCAGGACAAACCGCUGGAAGUGGGUAUGUCUCAAGCUUCUUCAACGUGGUCCACUCCAAAGCGAGCUGCAAAGGUGAAGAAGUGGAAGCAGUUGAAUGACACAUGUUGCAUUUUAUAACUGGCAACAAAGUACCAGGUAAAAAAGAUUGUGAAGCCUCCCUCCACAAAGAACUAGUAGCUCUACAGGACAGAGAUUCGCUUGCCAUCAAGUACUACAUCCAUAACCGAAUCAUAUUAAAAAAAGGAGAAUUUUUUUUUUCCACAUCUGCUGUGGUAGUUUGAGUAUGUUACCAGCAAUUAAAAAAGCAAGAUAAAGAGCAAGCGUUUUGUAUUUAUUCCAGAUAAUUGUUAGCGACAAAAUCCACAAAAACAAUUCAGUUACACUUAAUCGACAAUUACAUUUUUACCCAUGUUUCUUUUAAACUCUUCUUGGUUUUAGAUUACAGUAGCAUGGGAUUGGGAUUUUUUUUAAAUGACAACACAUCAACUAAACCAACUCAGGUUGUUUUGUUAAGUCUCUGAUGUCAUUAGCCUCAUAUGUCACAUGAACCUGAAAUCUUUAACACUCUGUGAUGUCAUGGUUGUCAUAUUUCACAAACUUGAAAUCUUAAACACUCUGUGACGUCAUGGUCAUCAUAUGUCACAUAAACUUGAAAUCUUAAACACUCUGUGACGUCAUGGUUGUCAUAUGUCACAUGAACCUGAAAUCUUAAACACUCGGUGACGUCAUGGUCGUCAUAUGUCACAUAAACUUGAAAUCUUAAACACUCUGGUCUUCAUUUGUCACCUAAACCUGACAAGUCCUCAUAUGUACCAUAAAAAUCAGGUUCAGAAAAAAACAAAAGAGUUGCAAAAAUCUCAAUAGACCACUGUGUUUCUAAAAUUCUGGUUCACUAACCGUCUGAUUCCCAGGCCUGUAGGACCAUUGGAAAGGCAUGUCCCCAUAUGUCACGUUUUUGUCAUAAGUCCUCAUAUGUCACCCAAACACGU